rnacentral:rRNA from 1 species
GACGAACGCUGGCGGCGUGCCUAAUACAUGCAAGUCGAACGCUGAAGAGAGGAGCUUGCUCUUCUUGGAUGAGUUGCGAACGGGUGAGUAACGCGUAGGUAACCUGCCUUGUAGCGGGGGAUAACUAUUGGAAACGAUAGCUAAUACCGCAUAACAAUGGAUGACACAUGUCAUUUAUUUGAAAGGGGCAAUUGCUCCACUACAAGAUGGACCUGCGUUGUAUUAGCUAGUAGGUGAAGUAAUGGCUCACCUAAGCGACGAUACAUAGCCGACCUGAGAGGGGGAUCGGCCACACUGGGACCGAGACAACGGCCAGACUCCCACGGGAGGCAGCAGGAGGGGAACUUCGGCAAUGGGGGCAACCCUGACCGAACAACGCCGCGGGGGUGAAGAAGGGUUUCGGAUCGGAAAGCUCGGUUGUAAGUCAAGAACGGGAGUGAGAGUGGAAAGUUCACACUGUGACGGUAGCUUAUCAGAAAGGGACGGCUAACUACGUG